rnacentral:rRNA from 1 species
UACGUAGGGGGCAAGCGUUGUCCGGAUUUAUUGGGCGUAAAGAGCGUGUAGGCGGCUUGGUAGGUCCGCUGUGAAAACUCGAGGCUCAACCUCGAGAUGUCGGCGGAAACCACUUGGCUAGAGUCCGGAAGAGGAGAGUGGAAUUCCCGGUGUAGCGGUGAAAUGCGCAGAUAUCGGGAAGAACACCUAUGGCGAAAGCGGCUCACUGGACCACAACAUGACGCU